CACCAGGAGUUCAUUGUCAGAAUACCAAGUUAAUUUAUAGCCCUGUGACACGGAACGUCAUAUUUCAGGAUGUGGAAUUAAAUCAAGGAGGAUCUUGUGGUUUUUCAGGUGCGGUCUUUCUGAAGAGGGGUCCUGAAAAGGCUCCGCAGCCAUCUGUCUGCAUGGUGGCCAGAAAAAUAGCUGUUUUCCACAGCCCAAAGGCAGGGUUUGUUUUGGCUAGAUUCCGUGUGCCUGAUAAAGCACUGGUCUGGCCCAGUUGUCCUGAGGGAGGGUAGAGUUCUUUCAAUAAGCCGUGACUCAAGAGGGAACAAGGCUGAUCUCUAGAAAGCCGUGGGCCUGACUCUUUUGAGAUUCUCAUUCUUCCAUUUUCCUCCUUACUUUCUGCAGUUCAGAUAGGAGAUUUGUUUCAGAAGGCCGGGAGGGGAGGCUCAUGGAAUCACAGAAACUUAGGAGUGGAAAUGACUUUAGAAACCCUCACUCCCACUGCUAAGCAAUGCUUCUUCCUUCGUCUCUGCUUCAGCCCUCUAUCUGAACAGUGACAGAAAGCUGAGAUAGCACCUCUGGUAUUUAUAAUUUUAUAGACAAUUCUUCUUCCUAUUGAGUCAACCUCUCACUUCUGCCUAAAGUUUUCCCACUGACCCUUCUUAAUGCUCUUAUGGGACCCUGUGAAAUGAGUCUCAGGUCAGUCUAAAAGGAAAUAGGGUCUUGAGACCUUCUAGAGGAAUAAAUCUCCUGAGGUCCUCGGUAGAAAUAGCCUCAACUCGAAGCUGGGAUAGAAGAAAGUGAUUGAAGCAAGAUGUACCAUAAGCUCACAAGGAAAGCAGCGGCUGUGAGAGCAUUAAAUUCCUUCAGCUACUGGAUCACACUAGAGAGGAGAUCUCUAAACUUCUUUAAGAUAUCUGUGUGCUCAAACAUCACAAAGCAAA
ensembl:lncRNA